AGUGAACGCUGGCGGCAGGCCUAAUACAUGCAAGUCGAACGGCAGCACAGCAGAGCUUGCUCUGUGGGUGGCGAGUGGCGGGACGGGUGAGGAAUACGUGGGAAUCUGCCCAGUCGUGGGGGAUAACGUAGGGAAACUUACGCUAAUACCGCAUGCGCCCUUCGGGGAAAGCCGGGGACCUUCGGGCCUGGCGCGAUUGGAUGAGCCCACGUCGGAUUAGCUAGUUGGCGGGGUAAAGGCCCACCAAGGCGACGAUCCGUAGCUGGUCUGAGAGGAUGAUCAGCCACACUGGAACUGAGACACGGUCCAGACUCCUACGGGAGGCAGCAGUAGGGAAUAUCGGACAAUGGGCGCAAGCCUGAUCCAGCCAUGCCGCGUGAGUGAAGAAGGCCCUCGGGUUGUAAAGCUCUUUUGUCCGGAAAGAAAGCGCCGGGUUAAUACCCUGGUGUCCUGACGGUACCGGAAGAAUAAGCACCGGCUAACUUCGUGCCAGCAGCCGCGGUAA
rnacentral:rRNA from 1 species